AUGAACAUGCUUCCUGACACCUGCUCAGUUCUGCUGCUCCUCUUCAUGCUCAGGAUGAGCAAUGGAGACUCAGUGACCCAGACAGAAGGCCUGGUCACUGUCACAGAGGGGUUGCCUGUGAUGAUGAACUGCACCUAUCAGACUACUUACUCAAAUCCUUUCCUUUGGUGGUAUGUUCAAUAUCUCAACAAAGCCCCUCAGCUACUCCUGAAGAGUGCCACAGACAACCAGAGGACAGAGCACCAAGGGUUCCAGGCCAUUCUCCAUAAGAGCAGCAGCUCCUUCCACCUGCAGAAGUCCUCAGUGCAGCUGGCAGACUCUGCCCUGUACUACUGUGCUCUGAGGGACACAGUGAGAGAGACUGCAGGGGAAGCUGCACACAAACCCAGGGUGCAGGAGGCUGAGGGGAGUGGCCUGUGA